GGGCGAUUAGCUCAGCUGGGAGAGCACCUCCCUUACAAGGAGGGGGUCACUGGUUCGAACCCGGUAUCGCCCA
rfam:Plesiomonas shigelloides 302-73 contig00651, whole genome shotgun sequence.